GACGAACGCUGGCGGCGUGCUUAACACAUGCAAGUCGAACGGAAAGGCCCUGCUUUUGUGGGGUGCUCGAGUGGCGAACGGGUGAGUAACACGUGAGUAACCUGUCCUUGACUUUGGGAUAACUUCAGGAAACUGGGGCUAAUACCGGAUAGGAGCUCCUGCUGCAUGGUGGGGGUUGGAAAGUUUCGGCGGUUGGGGAUGGACUCGCGGCUUAUCAGCUUGUUGGUGGGGUAGUGGCUUACCAAGGCUUUGACGGGUAGCCGGCCUGAGAGGGUGACCGGCCACAUUGGGACUGAGAUACGGCCCAGACUCCUACGGGAGGCAGCAGUGGGGAAUAUUGCACAAUGGGCGGAAGCCUGAUGCAGCAACACCGCGUGCGGGAUGACGGCCUUCGGGUUGUAAACCGCUUUCGCCUGUGACGAAGCGUGAGUGACGGUAAUGGGUAAAGAAGCACCGGCUAACUACGUG
rnacentral:rRNA from 1 species